CGCGGGGCUCGCUCGUGCACCCUACGACCGGUUCUGUCUUUGCUGACAGACUUCUCAUCUACAGUUUGCGGAGCAGGCUGAAAUAAACGCCGAAGAAAAGAGUUCUCAGGUUUCAGCUGGUUGAGAAUCUUGGUGGCUUAAUCUGUGGGAUCUCUUAAAGUUAAUAAGAGAAGGGGUUCCGGGUUCAAGCCUUGGUCCGGGAAGAUCCCACAUGCUGUGGAGCAACUCAGCCCGUGCGCCACAACUACUGAGCCCGCGAACCACAACUACUGAGCCCACGUGCCACAACUACUGAAGCCCAUGCCUAGAGCCCGUGCUCCGCAGCAAGAGAAACCAGCGCAAUGAGAAGCCCAUGCACCGCAACGAAGAGUAGCCCCCGCUCCCCGCAACUAGAGAAGACCUGCACACAGUAACGAAGACC